CUUGAGGCGUGGCUUCCGGAGCUAACGCGUUAAGUCGACCGCCUGGGGAGUACGGCCGCAAGGUUAAAACUCAAAUGAAUUGACGGGGGCCCGCACAAGCGGUGGAGCAUGUGGUUUAAUUCGAUGCAACGCGAAGAACCUUACCUACUCUUGACAUCCAGAGAACUUUCCAGAGAUGGAUUGGUGCCUUCGGGAACUUUGAGACAGGUGCUGCAUGGCUGUCGUCAGCUCGUGUUGUGAAAUGUUGGGUUAAGUCCCGCAACGAGCGCAACCCUUAUCCUUUGUUGCCAGCGGUCCGGCCGGGAACUCAAAGGAGACUGCCAGUGAUAAACUGGAGGAAGGUGGGGAUGACGUCAAGUCAUCAUGGCCCUUACGAGUAGGGCUACACACGUGCUACAAUGGCGCAUACAAAGAGAAGCGACCUCGCGAGAGCAAGCGGACCUCAUAAAGUGCGUCGUAGUCCGGAUUGGAGUCUGCAACUCGACUCCAUGAAGUCGGAAUCGCUAGUAAUCGUAGAUCAGAAUGCUACGGUGAAUACGUUCCCGGGCCUUGUACACACCGCCCGUCACACCAUGGGAGUGGGUUGCAAAAGAAGUAGGUAGCUUAACCUCGGGAGG
rnacentral:rRNA from 1 species